rnacentral:rRNA from 1 species
AUAUUGCACAAUGGGCGCAAGCCUGAUGCAGCAACGCCGCGUGAGGGAUGGCGGCCUUCGGGUUGUAAACCUCUUUUAGCAAGGAAGAAGCGAAAGUGACGGUACCUGCAGAAAAAGCACCGGCAAACUACGAGCCAGCAGCCGCGGUAAUACGUAGGGUGCAAGCGUUGUCCGGAAUUAUUGGGCGUAAAGAGCUCGUAGGCGGCUUGUCGAGUCUGCUGUGAAAUCCCGGGGCUCAACUCCGGGACUGCAGUGGGUACGGGCAGGCUAGAGUGCGGUAGGGGGGAUUGGAAUUCCUGGUGUAGCGGUGGAAUGCGCAGAUAUCAGGAGGAACACCGAUGGCGAAGGCAGAUCUCUGGGCCGCUACUGACGCUGAGGAGCGAAAGCAUGGGGAGCGAACAG